CUUAUCAAGAGCGGCAGAGGGAACAGGCCCUGUGAAGCCCGACAACCUGCAUUUUUUUAGAAUGUAAGGUGCCAAAUCCUGCGGGAAACCGAGAGAUAAG
rnacentral:ncRNA from 1 species